CCUACGGGGGGCAGCAGUGGGGAAUAUUGGACAAUGGGCGAAAGCCUGAUCCAGCCAUGCCGCGUGUGUGAAGAAGGCCUUCGGGUUGUAAAGCACUUUCAGUGGGGAAGAAAGCCUUGGGGCUAAUACCCUCGAGGAAGGACAUCACCCACAGAAGAAGCACCGGCUAACUCCGUGCCAGCAGCCGCGGUAAUACGGAGGGUGCGAGCGUUAAUCGGAAUUACUGGGCGUAAAGCGCGCGUAGGCGGUCUGAUAAGCCGGUUGUGAAAGCCCCGGGCUCAACCUGGGAACGGCAUCCGGAACUGUCAGGCUAGAGUGCAGGAGAGGAAGGUAGAAUUCCCGGUGUAGCGGUGAAAUGCGUAGAGAUCGGGAGGAAUACCAGUGGCGAAGGCGGCCUUCUGGACUGACACUGACGCUGAGGUGCGAAAGCGUGGGUAGCAAACAGGAUUUAGAUACCCCUGUAGUC
rnacentral:rRNA from 1 species